CGCGCAGGCGGUCGUUCAAGUCGAGUGUGAAAGCCCCCGGCUCAACUGGGGAGGGUCACUCGAUACUGAUCGACUUGAAGGCGGGAGAGGGAAGCGGAAUUCCCGGUGUAGUGGUGAAAUGCGUAGAUAUCGGGGGGAACGACCAGUGGCGAAGGCGGCUUUCUGCCCGUUCUUGACGCUGAGGCGCGAAAGCUAGGGUAGCAAACG
rnacentral:rRNA from 1 species